rnacentral:lncRNA from 10 species
CUUUGAGGUUAAUAAAAAGUUGUUUAGCUUCUUAGCACAAAAGAUUGAGAAAAGUCAGGUGGAAUAACAUGUGCAUUCCAAAAGAACAAUCUGCAGAUGCAUUCAUCAUGGAAGACAAGCCUUUAAAGGUGUGUGAAUUUGGUAUUGACUUGAAUGAAGGAUGUUAGAGCCUGGGAUGCUGAGGCAUGUGUUUACUAGAAUAUUUUAAGUUACAAGUGUGGAUACCAUUCUACUGGACAGCAUGCUUUUGGGAUUAGAACUGCAGAAGCCCCACCUCUGCUUCAAAUAUAAUAGCAAUAAAUGUGCUUUUGCAUAUGCAGUAUAUUUGAAGAAAUAAAGAUUAUUAUGUGGCUAAUAAA